rnacentral:misc_RNA from 1 species
UGCUGAGAAAUCAGAACCCAAUGUAGACAUCUUGUUUAAAGGUCUGCUUGGAUGCAUGUAAGUAGACUUAGAAGACUUGCCACCAAUGUUGCCAUUAGACUUCAUUGAGUUCAAACCAUUGGCCUUGGAAAAACUAGGACCUGAAUUGUAUUUUCUAUUUCCAGAACCACUAUUGCCAUUUGAGACAUCUCCAACACAUGUUGAAUCCCAUGAAUAACAAGGCAUGGACUCUGAUCCAUAGGAAACUGGACGCGGAAGGUAACCAGGAGAAGAAAAAAAUUGUUGCUGCCCAUCUACCCCAACUACUGUCCCAGAAGCAUAUGGACUAUAGCCAGGUAAAUAAUAGACAAGUGAUCCGUUGUCUGAUUGCAUUCCCAUAUGAGAUCCAUCUGCUUG